UACGUAGGUGGCGAGCGUUGUCCGGAUUUACUGGGCGUAAAGGGAGCGUAGGCGGACCUUUAAGUGAGAUGUGAAAUACUCAGGCUCAACUUGAGUGCUGCAUUUCAAACUGGAAGUCUAGAGUGCAGGAGAGGAGAAUGGAAUUCCUAGUGUAGCGGUGAAAUGCGUAGAGAUUAGGAAGAACACCAGUGGCGAAGGCGAUUCUCUGGACUGUAACUGACGCUGAGGCUCGAAAGCGUGGGGAGCAAACAGG
rnacentral:rRNA from 1 species